rnacentral:rRNA from 1 species
GAUGAACGCUGGCGGCGUGCUUAACACAUGCAAGUCGAACGGUGAAGGCGGAGCUUGCUCUGCUGGAUCAGUGGCGAACGGGUGAGUAACACGUGAGCAAUCUGCCCCUGACUCUGGGAUAAGCGCUGGAAACGGCGUCUAAUACUGGAUACGAGCUGCGAAGGCAUCUUCAGCAGCUGGAAAGAACUUCGGUCAGGGAUGAGCUCGCGGCCUAUCAGCUUGUUGGUGAGGUAACGGCUCACCAAGGCGUCGACGGGUAGCCGGCCUGAGAGGGUGACCGGCCACACUGGGACUGAGACACGGCCCAGACUCCUACGGGAGGCAGCAGUGGGGAAUAUUGCACAAUGGGCGAAAGCCUGAUGCAGCAACGCCGCGUGAGGGACGACGGCCUUCGGGUUGUAAACCUCUUUUAGCAGGGAAGAGGCGAAAGUGACGGUACCUGCAGAAAAAGCGCCGGCUAACUACGUG